UAGGGAAUCUUCGGCAAUGGACGAAAGUCUGACCGAGCAACGCCGCGUGAGUGAAGAAGGUUUUCGGAUCGUAAAACUCUGUUGUUAGAGAAGAACAAGGACGUUAGUAACUGAACGUCCCCUGACGGUAUCUAACCAGAAAGCCACGGCUAACUACGUGCCAGCAGCCGCGGUAAUACGUAGGUGGCAAGCGUUGUCCGGAUUUAUUGGGCGUAAAGCGAGCGCAGGCGGUUUCUUAAGUCUGAUGUGAAAGCCCCCGGCUCAACCGGGUAGGGUCAUUGGAAACUGGGAGACUUGACUGCAGAAGAGGAGUGUGGAAUUCCAUGUGUAGCGGUGAAAUGCGUAGAUCUAUGGAGGAACACCAGUGGCGAAGGCGGCUCUCUGGUCUGUAACUGACGCUCAGGUGCGAAAGCGUGGGGAGCAAACAGG
rnacentral:rRNA from 1 species